GCAGAAUGAGGAGAUGUGAGCCCUCACACCAGGCAGGGGCCAGAGGUGAAAAGAGACCCUGAGAAGGGAUCCGUGAUUUUGCGUGAGAGGUGCGGAGAAGGAGGGGGAGGAAGGGAAGGAGAGGUAUCGUCUUGGGAUGUGCAAAGCAUGACUGAAAAUAGCCUGUUCUCCAAUAUCACUAAUGAAACCACGGUGAUGUCACUUCUGAUCACGCUGUCGUCUGAGUGGCUGAUCUUGCGAUAGGGAGCUUCCCUUUGCGCGCUCACAGCCGUGGCAGUGGAAAAGACCUUCAGAUUCGCAGCGAGUAGGUGGCACUCGUCAAGAAAAAUAACUUCACCACAACAACAACAAAUGAUGGGAGAGACAGAAACUUCUCUGGGGGGGCAGAGGGAGAGAAGCAGAGUCUAAGUGUCGUGACACAAGUGGAAGAAGAGUCAUUUAUUUAGUAGGAAGCAACCCAUUCACACAGACCUAGCGUUGUGGUCCUUCAGAAGUGCGUAAACACCGCCAAUCUGUCCACCACAGAUUCUCAUCAAAAUUUCUCGGGAAAUGCCUCAUUAAAGGACCUUUAAAGAGUAGUUAUGAGUGCACACCCGUCAAACAAUUUCAGAAAGACAGCCAGCUCUAUCUACUGUAAUAUGAAUUUCCUUCCCUUCCACGGGGACCGCAUUUUGCCCAAUUUAGUAUGAGUUUUGAAUUAAGGCCAACCAUGAACCCUCUGAACCACACUCUUCUCUGCAAGAGAAAGCGGUUUCCUGUCUCUGAGAGGAAGGCCUUACAUGGUCUGAGGAAAGCUUUUCUUUGGCAUUAAAUAAUUCUUCCCAGAUAUCUUCACUGGAUACUCAAUAGGAUGAUUCUAGCUCAUAAAACUUUGCAGAAAAUUACUGGUGAGAACCAGUUGAGGAUUUUUCAAUUGUAGACUUUGAAAAAUAAUUUUUAAAAAAUGGACCCACCCUCAUUGUUUGUUCGUUUCUCUCUCCCGCUGUGUGUAGCCCUCAUGCUACUGAACCUGCGUACCUUCCACGAAGAGAGAGUCAGUGGUCGUGCCGAGGCUUCAAUUAAACGUUUCAGCAGGAAGAUCCACAGGUGGCAUGUUUUGAGUUGUUGGGCUCAGUCCCUGCCACCCACUGAAGCUGAUCUCCAUGAAGUGCUGGCCCGCUUCGCCUCAGUUCUGGGUCAGGGUGUUUCUCCAAGCUGGAGCUCCUGGCCCGCCCAACUCACAGGCCUCCACAUGUGCCUGUUAGAAAACCAUGUCUGUGCCCAGUCCCAGGCUCAUGCAGUCAGAACCUCUUGUUUCUUGCUACAUGUGUGGAUUCCUGAUAUUGGAGAAAUCCCAGCCCAGUCAGGACUGAAAUGACCAUCCUGAGCACAGCAUGCUUCGAGUUAGCUUUUGUUUGUAAAGGAGUCAAAGGAGGAACGUCAGGAGACAGAGCCUGAGAAGCCUGGACCGCGCGUGGAGCUUCUCCGCCUGCCUUCUCCUCUCUGACCGCGUCCGCAGGCUCUGCUGACAUGCCGACAUCUCAUCGCAGCCUUGUGUCCCCAGCACUCAUGGUUUAUUCCUCCAACCAAUGUUUCUUGAGGGUCCGCAAUGCGUGAGACACUAAAGUACACUCAGAAUAAAGGAAAAAAAAUAGUACAAUUUCCUACCUCCACCAGCUUGCAGUAACACAGGAAAGAACCAGAUAAGCAAGACAAAGCACAUUUCUGGGCCCAGAACAUUCUUCUCAUGCUUCUGAAUUCCUUCAUCUCACCUCAAAACCCUCAUUAUCACUCACACACUCUAUACUAGAGUGUGCACCACAAAACUCUUCUAUUUUAUAAUUCUCUAGUACCAGUCAUGCCUGUAAUCCUUAGAAAGGUUCUGCUCUUAAUGAUCCAGUUUUGAUAUAUUUUCAAAAGUUGCAUUAUAAAAACUGUUCUAAAGAGAGGGGCUAUGGUUUUUGAGUCUGGAUUGUCUUAAGGCUUACAAGGACUGAAAAUUCAAAAACAAAUAUGACUGAAUAUAUGGUACAAAACUUAAAAAUCACUAGGAAAAUGUAGCAAAUAUAUGUAGUAAGUACAGUAAGACCUGGGGAAAAUGGGAACUCAAAGGGAAUGUGAUGGGUGAUUGGCUCUAUCUUCAUCACGGUCUCUGUUCUCAAAUGGAGCCUCCUGGAGGAGUGAAGGGAGGUGCAGGGGGGCCUAGGUUUUGGACGGUGGGGGGAACAGUCAGGCGGCUCCCUCUUGGGAAGGGCGGGGGCAGAGUAUAAGGCCCAGGGACCCUCAAUUCUUCCCAACCCCCCCUUUUUUUUCUGAGAAAGAUGUGUUUACUACUCAGAAGAUUCCUGGAUAUUUUGGGUAGCCAGAAGAUCCAGAAGCCUCCCCACUCAUAUUCAACCUAUUUCUAUAUAGUGACAUUAAUAACUAAAAGCAGAACUGGGGCCAUUUGGGAUCACACAGGUCAGGGACUGCAGACGGCACCAGACGUGCUCAGAUGGCCUGCCUGGGUUUUCUAGGGCUGCCAUGAUGCUACCCCAUGUCUUAGCUACUUGGAGUUGCCACCGAUGGAUUCCAAUGCACUUUCUAUCUCUCCUGGUGGUGUUUCUCUUUCCAUCUCAUUAGUCCAAAACUCACCCAUUUGAUCUUAGUGUUUAUUUCAUGAUAUUCCCAGAGCCAUCCAAACAAAAGUAGCUUGAUCACUACUGAUUCCUGAUGAAGACAACCCAGUAUAUCAGUAGCAGAGACAUUACUUUGUCAACAAAGGUCUGUCUAGUCAAGGCUAUGGUUUUUCCAGUGGUCAUGUAUGGAUGUGAGAGUUGGACUAUAAAGAAAGCUGAGCACCGAGGAAUUGAUGCUUUCGAAGUGUGGUGUUGGAGAAGACUCUUGAGAGGCCCUUGGACUGCAAGGAGAUCCAACCAGUCCAUCCUAAAGGAGAUCAGUGCUAAAUGUUCAUUGGAAGGACUGAUGCUGAAGCUGAAACUCCAAUACUUUGGCCACCUGAUGGGAAGAGCUGAUUCACUGGAAAAGACUCUGAGGCUGGGAAAGGUUGAAGGCAGGAGGAGAAGGGGAUGACAGAGGAUGAGAUGGUUGGAUGGCAUCACUGACUCGAUGGACAUGAGUUUGAACAAGCUCCAGGAGUUGGUGAUGGACAGGGAGGCCUGGCGUGCUGUGAUUCAUGGGGUCGCAAAUAGUUGGACACGACUGAGCUACUGAGCUGAACUGAAUUGAAUCUGCUAAUGCACCUCACUAGCCCACCAUACAUCAUAGUAAAAUAUAAAACAGAGUGUUAUAACGUACCAGGCAUCACCCUAAGUGUCCUACAGGAGCUGACUUAUUUAAUCCUUGAAGUAGCCUUAUGAGUCCUUUACUACCCUCAUGCCCAAACUAGAGAUGGAGCAUGUAAGGUUCAGCGAGGUUAAGUAACUCAUCCAAGGUCACACAGCUGGUGACUGCCAGAGCUAGGACUCAAGCCCAGACAGUCUAACUUUGGAGUUCAGACUCUGUACUGUGCGUCAGUCAUGAAGACUCUUGCAUGCCAUGUAGACUGUGUUUAGAGAUUAUUGUAGAGAUGACAUGGAGUCAUUGUUAGAUUUCAGGGAGAUGUGUUCAGAUCUAAUACUUAAAAAGACAGAGAGGGGCUGGAAGAUGCAAGAUUGAUACAAAAGUUAGAAUCAGCAGGGCUUGCUGACGAACUAAAAAUGGCAGGAAGCUGAAAUCAGCUCCCUUUAUUUGGAACAAAAACUGUGACUCUAUUCUUUACUGUGUAGUAGCUGAGGAUGAAAUCUCUGGAUUUCCUGGGCAAUCAUUUUGACUUUGCUAACUUUUUGUGGUUAACAGCCUAGGCCCUUGAAUCCAACAGGCCAUGGUAUAAAUUCCUGUUAACAAUAACAGCGAACGUUUUAUGGAGUGUUACUGAGCCUCUACGGUAGUGUUUACAUGGAUUGUGGCUUUUAAUUGUCAUAAUAAACCUGAGGGAAAUACUAUUCCUCUCACCUUUUCAGAUGAAAAAAACCUGAGUUCUCAGCUUGGUUAAAAAAUGUGUCCAGAGUUAUACUACUAAGACAUGUAACAGAGAUUUUAAAAAACAACAACAGGUUAUCGGAUUUAAGUGGCUGUUGUGUAGCCCACUGACCAUACUCCCAGUUCUGACACUUGCGAGUGGUCAGACUUUGGCAUUCUAUUGACUAUGUCUUAACGUCUGUCUUCCUUAUCCAAAAAUGAGAUUGGAGCAUAACCUCCUUCAUUGCCAUGGGGUGAGAGGAAAUGAACAAUGAAUGGAAACCUAUGUCAUACACUCAGAACAUUAAAAUCUUAACGAAUAAAAAAUAUUCUUAAUAUUUUACUCCUUCAAUAAGGAGGUGCCACUGGGGAUGCAGAGGUGCUGGGCUUCGCAAAAUAGAUGCUAGAGGUCGAGUCAGGAUGCCUUGCUGGCUGACUGAAAAUAACAGAAAGCUGAAACUGAGGCUCCUUUUUCCUCUGAAUGAAAACCAUGACCGCUUUUUUCUUAAAUGUAUAACUGAAUUUCUUUCCAGAUGUAUAUUUUACCUUGCUUGUGAUUCCAAAUAUACAAAAAGUGCUUUUCAAAUCUUUCUCAUGAAGCUUGUGAUGUGUGUUUACUUUGAGUACAAGAACCUCCCUUUUCAGCCAUUUCCUAAAUAAAUUCUGUAAUAGUUGUAUGUUGGAGAUCUGGGGUUUUACUUGUAAUAAAAGAGAUUCUCUAAAGCUUAAUGCAUUAAGAGCUAAGGUGUAAUAACUCCAUGCUUUUGGUUGAUGGUCAGACUUCCUCAUUUCUUCCUGGAUUGAGAGUCCAUAUAAACAAAAGCACUGUGUUUUC
ensembl:lincRNA